CUUUUCGAUCUCUUUGAAUGGCCUCCAAAUAAGAAUAGAGCAGAAAAAUAAUUAAUUUUACAAUAUACUAAUGAUCAGAGCUUUUCCUACGCUAUUUCGGCAACAGUUGAUUUGCAAAACAGUUUUUAACAGCAUAUCAACAACGUUACAGAAAAUGUCUGUACAGGCAACCAUCACAGAGAAUCUCACCAAAGAGUUCAAG